AUGAUGCGGGGCAGGACGGGAACACUUUGCUACCUUCAUCUGAGAAGACCCGGCCGGUGAAUGUUCGGUAGGGGAGGGAAGAAGGAGGAUAGAACCUGAAAAACGUCAACAUCAAGUGAGGGUUGCUUUCCAAAGCAGCGAUCUGCUGAGGAGGAGCGCAGCGUCGCCAACUGGUUAUAUUUCGAGGCCGAGGAGGAGGAGAGGGAAAGAUGGACAUCACGGAUCAAGGAGCCCAAAUGGAGCCGCUCUUACCAACGGAACAAAGUUCUCAAGAAAGUAAGGAUGUGAGAACUGAUGAGGAGGCGGUGGUGGACCGUGGGGGCACACGUUCUAUGCUCAACACCAAUUUUGAGAAGGAAGAACUUGAAGGUCACCGCACUCUCUACAUUGGAGUCCAUGUUCCCUUGGGCCGGAGGUCACACCGUCGUCACCGUCACCAUGGACACAGACACAGGAAGAGGUCCAAGGAGAGGGACUCCACAGGUGAAGAUGGACGAGAAUCCCCCUCAUAUACAGACACUCCAGCUCAGAGGGUACAGUUUCUUCUGGGCACAGAGGAUGGCGAUGAGGAGCACAUCCCACACGCCCUGUUUACUGAGAUGGACGAAAUUUGCCUCAGGGAGGGUGAGGACGCUGAAUGGAAAGAGACAGCUAGGUGGCUUAAGUUUGAAGAGGAUGUUGAAGACGGUGGCGAGCGGUGGAGUAAACCCUACGUGGCCACCCUGUCUCUGCACAGUCUUUUUGAGCUGCGUAGCUGCAUCAUGAAUGGCAUUGUGUUGCUGGACAUGAGGGCCAACUCAUUGGAGGAGAUCGCAGACAUGGUUUUGGAUCAGCACGAGGGGUCCGGCUCUUUGGGUCAGGACGCCCGGAAAAGAAUCCGCGAGGCCCUGCUUAAACAGCAUCACCACCAAAACCACAAGAAACUGGCCAACCGCAUCCCUAUUGUCCGGUCCUUCGCUGAUAUUGGCAAGAAGCAAUCCGAGCCUCAUUCCAUGGACAAGAAUGGCCAAACAGUCUCACCUCAGUCCCAGCCGUCCAACAACGAGGGCAAACAGGACGUCAGCCGGGAAAACAGCGCUGUGGACUUCAGCAAGAUUGACCUCCAUUUCAUGAAGAAAAUCCCUCCUGGUGCGGAGGCAUCCAAUGUCUUGGUUGGAGAGCUGGAAUUCCUAGAUCGCCCCGUGGUGGCCUUCGUGCGCUUGUCACCUGCUGUGCUUCUCAAUGGCCUGACUGAAGUUCCCAUCACCACCAGGUUCUUGUUUAUCCUCGUUGGGCCUCUGGGAAAAGGUUCCCAGUAUCAUGAAAUUGGGCGAUCUAUUGCUACUCUGAUGACUGAUGAGAUUUUCCAUGAUGUUGCCUAUAAGGCUAAAGACAGGAGUGACCUGGUGGCAGGCAUCGACGAGUUUUUGGAUCAGGUGACAGUGUUACCACCCGGCGAGUGGGACCCGUCCAUCAGAAUAGAGCCUCCGAAGAAUGUUCCCUCUCAGGAAAAGCGAAAGAUCCCUCCUGUUCCCAACGGAGUAACGGAUCUUGGAGAGUCUGAGGAACACGGAGGACAUGGUGGCCCUGAGCUCCAGCGCACAGGGAAGUUCUUUGGUGGGAUGAUCUUGGACAUCAAGCGAAAGGCCCGUCACUACCUUUCAGACUACACAGACGCCAUCAGUCUCCAGUGUCUGGCCUCCUUCCUCUUUCUUUACUGCGCCUGCAUGUCACCCGUUAUUACCUUCGGAGGACUUCUGGGUGAGGCUACAGAGGGGCGUGUGAGUGCCAUCGAGUCCCUGUUUGGGGCUUCAAUGACUGGAAUAGCCUACUCCCUUUUUGCUGGUCAGCCCCUCACUAUCCUGGGUAGCACUGGGCCUGUACUGGUCUUUGAAAAGAUCCUUUUCAAGUUUUGCAAGGAGUAUGGUCUGUCUUACCUCUCCCUGAGGACCUGUAUUGGACUGUGGACAGCUUUCUUCUGCCUGCUGCUGGUGGCCACAGAUGCCAGCUCACUUGUCUGCUACAUCACACGCUUCACUGAAGAGGCUUUCGCUGCGCUGAUCUGCAUCAUCUUCAUCUAUGAGGCCCUGGAGAAGCUAAUUCACCUGGGGGUGCACUAUCCAAUCAAUAAACACAACGACCUGCAGAAGCUCACCCAGUACUGGUGUAGCUGUGUUGAGCCCAGGGACCCAAGCAAUGAGACUCUGCUAUAUUGGGAGGAGAGAAACAUCACGGUCUCCAGGGUCAACUGGACUACACUAGAGGUCAAGGAGUGUGAGAUGUUACACGGGCAGUUUGAGGGGCCCGCAUGUGGCCACCAUGGCCCUUACAUCCCAGAUGUCCUCUUCUGGUGUGUGGUCCUGUUUUUCACUACAGUCUUCAUGUCGGCCUUCCUCAAGGAGUUCAAGACGAGCCGCUACUUCCCCACCAAGGUGAGGUCUGUCAUCAGCGACUUUGCAGUCUUUAUCACUAUUCUGACUAUGGUCCUUGUCGAUUAUGCCCUGGGAAUCCCCUCUCCUAAAUUACAAGUCCCCAGCAAGUUCAAACCAACAAGAGAUGAUCGGGGGUGGGUUAUAAACCCUGUAGGACCCAACCCAUGGUGGACCACCAUUGUCACAUCUAUUCCCGCUCUGCUCUGCACCAUCCUCAUCUUCAUGGACCAGCAGAUCACAGCUGUUAUUAUUAACAGGAAGGAGCACAAACUGAAGAAAGGCUGCGGCUACCACCUGGACCUGUUCGUGGUCGGGGUCAUGCUGGGCGUGUGCUCUGUGAUGGGCCUCCCAUGGUUCGUGGCUGCCACUGUGCUCUCCAUCUCCCACGUCAACAGCCUGAAGCUGGAGUCAGAGUGCUCAGCUCCUGGAGAGCAGCCCAAGUUCCUGGGCAUCCGCGAACAGCGUUUCACUGGCCUCAUGAUCUUCACGCUCAUGGGCUGCUCCGUCUUCAUGACCUCUGUGCUAAAGUUCAUCCCCAUGCCUGUGCUCUAUGGCGUCUUUUUGUACAUGGGAGCGUCUUCCCUCAGAGGCAUUCAGUUCUUUGACCGCUUGCGGCUGUUUGGCAUGCCAGCCAAACAUCAGCCAGACUUCAUCUACCUUCGACAUGUACCCCUGAGGAAGGUGCACCUCUUUACCAUCAUCCAGCUUAGCUGCUUGAUCCUACUCUGGGUCAUUAAGACCUCCAGGGCUGCCAUCGUUUUUCCCAUGAUGGUUUUGGCUCUGGUAUUUAUUCGUAAGUUGCUUGAUUUCAUCUUCACCAAGAGAGAACUGAGCUGGCUGGAUGAUCUCAUGCCAGAGUGGAAGAAGAAGAAACUGGAGGAUGCAGCGGAAGAGGAGGAACAUAGUAUUAUUGCAGAGGAGGAAGGGAUUGUGCAAGUACCACUGGAGGGGCACUACAAGAGUGACCCAGCCACGGUGAACAUCACGGAUGAGAUGUCCAAAGGAUCUUUUGGGAGUGUGUGGAAGGGUGUGAGUCCAGCUGAGAGCGCUAAAAAGGAACCGGGCUCAAAAAGAUUUCCCACUGCGUAGACUAACAUAGUAUGUCCUGCCUGCUUCUCUCGCUCCAUCCUACCCCUAAGCUCCCCUUCCUAACCUCUCAGAAGCUGAUAUCCCAAAGUUGUGCCAGAAGCAGUGAAAAGCGACACAAGCGGAGAAGGCAUGACAAGAGCUUGGACAGGGAGACGAGUUUGUGAUGACACAUACUGGUGAUGCCACUGUGCUGUCAAUCAGUAAAUACACAAAAAAAGCAAAACAGUUAUACCGUGCCACACUCACCUAUGUACUGUGCUACACUGUGUUUUUAGUCAUGUAAGUCUGUGUGCAAGUUGUUCAUAAGAAAGAAGUAUUUGUUGGAAACCAGAAACAACAUAAGAAAACUCACAGAGUUAAGCACCAAGUUAAGCAACCAGAAGGAAGGGCCAACUGUGGAUAGGAUUUGGUACACAUGCAGACCAGCGAUAGGUACGCAAAUGAUCAAUCUGUGAUGAGCUAGUAUGUCUACAGCAGGCACCACAGGGUAUAUAGUGGUGUGGUGCUUCAACAUCACUUCAGCAUUGACACAUUUCACAGUACAGUGCUGAAGAUGGGUUAAGAGUGAUAAAACCUUAUCAAGUGCUGGUAAUGCUGUCCAAUGCAGUUUGUUGGUUUUGUGGAGCUAUCCCCUGUUACUGAUGAAGUAACUGACUGUAGGAUGUUUUGGGAACUGCCUGUAAGACAUUUUGAUAACUCCACUUAUACUCUGUGGUGCCCUAUCUAGACUCAUUGUUCAAAUACCAGUGUUGGUACUUUGGCUUUCAAUGGCACUCAGAAGAAAAUGUUUGUAUUUGUUUGGUAAAUCCAAACAAAUUGGCUACUUUUGCAGUGUUUCAUUUACUACUGAAGUCGAACGUUGGAUCUGAUAAUGAUAUCAAAUCCAACAUAACCAUAUUUGAAAAUCAGUAAGAUUUGCUAUUUCAAAUCCCAAGUGAUCAGAAAAAGAAGAAAUAGAAAUAGAGACUAAUCACAGUGUAUUUUUCUGAAUUUUGUACUUUCAAGCUCCAGUACAGUACUGUUUGUGUAAAAGAUUUUGUCAAACGUGCAAAACAAAAAUUAUUUUCUACCACGACUUUGACUAAGUUUUAUAUUCAAGGCAGGCUUAUUGGACUUUGAAGUUGGGUUCUGUGAGGCCGGACUUUCCCACUCAGACUUCUUGGGACCUUCUGGUACAUUUUUCCAGCUACAGACAUUUCAACAAAAAUAGAAUGCAUCAUAAAUCUGCAACCAAUCAAACAUUGUCAGUGAAUAGGAAUGUUUUUGUCCUUUUGUGAUAUUGUGUUAAAAUGUCUCAAAAUAGAGGUACUGAAAAUCGAGUAUUUACUGAAGUGGUACUUGUUCUAAAAAGUUCUAUAACCUGUGCUCUAGAGAAUUCAGCUGCUUGCUACCUAAAUAAUUCACCUACUCAUUACUGGUCUGCAUGUGUAUGAAAUUACAUCCAAAUUGGACCUUUCCUUCUGGGUGCUUAACUUGGUGUGGACCAUUAAGUGUAAUGGUGAUACUGUACCAGCAACAGAGUGAAGCCAGGAUUAUGACAAUAUCUUAGUCAAUAGGCCAAUUAUAGACUGAUUUUAAAUAAUUUUUAAUAUUUUCUUUCUUCGUAUUUUGUAUGUUUUUAUAUUUUUCCAAGAACAACUUCAAGUUGUCUCUUUAAACACCUGCCACAGCAAAUGCAAAUGGAUUUUAUGUGGAGCAUUGAAUGCUGCAGCAGAUUUUCACACCUUAGAAUAGAAAACUGCUUAGAUGUCUGCCAGGACUAAUUCAACUCAGAGGUACCUAAGAGCGCUGGCUAUGUAACUUUCUGAAAGUAUACAUUUUAUAUAUACUAUAAUGUAAAUCUAAUCGUCUAUGUGUCAGUGACUGUAUUCACCUUUGAUGUUGCACAUAUAAAUGUUUCUCCUUCAGUCGAGCAUUUGCUCAGUUUUACCUCCUGAGAAAUUUCCAUUUUAUCCUUCUUACUAAGAAUGAACUGAGAAGAUUGAUACCUUUCAUUGGCCUGUGUCAGUUCGCCCUUUGCCAGUUCGUACCUACAUGUUGCUAUUUCAUUUCUUCCUGCUGUAAACAAACCAUUUCAUAGCCAUGUACUUCUUUUUUCUUUUUAGUUGGGUAUAUGUUUUUUUACAAAUUACCGAGAUGAAAAAUCCAAAAAAUGCUUAAAUCAUAUGUACAAGUAAAUUUAAUAGUAAAAAACCCUUUUUAUAACACCCUAUUUUCGUUUAUUGUGGGUAUCCCCACUGUAGUCAGCUGACUAUAAUGAAAUAUGGCACAUAUGAUCCUAAAACCAGAUAACUUUAAACUACUUAGUGCUGGUAUAUGUGAUUUGUAGUCGUAAAACCAUAUUUUAUUUUACAGUAGACCGUAGAUCACAGAUAUAUUUUUAAAUUGUUUAUGGGAAACAUCCCUCUCACAGGUACAAUCUGAAGCAUGAUUAGUAUGAAAUGCCUUGUGGCAGACAGCACCAAUUACAUCUAGAAAAAGGGAAAACAACCAAAGGGCUAAAUAAACUAAAUCUAGCAGGAUAUUAGCUUUAUAAGCACAAAGAUUGAAAAUGGUGGCUCAGGUUAAGAGUAACUAAUAUGUCCACAUGUCCCAAACUACAAAGGUAUGAAAUGGCGAAGAGGAAAAAUGACCAGCCCGCCCUCUCCUGUCAUUAAAAGAACCAAAAGCUAAAGUUAGUGGGACGUUGAUUGGCUGAACACAAAGACUGAAAAUGUGAAAACCAGCCCUGACUUAAGAGUAACACCUAAAGCUGACAAGCACUUCAUAUAUUUUCUGUUUUAUUCCAGAAACUUAAUAUGAUGAUGUUUGAACAAAACAGGAAUCAAACUUAGUCCUUGCUGGCAUUAGCACCACAUUAAUUGAAGAAAUACAAAAGCCAUGCCAGUUAUUCUCUUUCAAUGUAAGGAAGUCAAAGAACAUAUUUUCCCACUGUGGUCGGUACAAAACAAUCCGUGGCAAACUGCUCCAUUUCAAGAAGUUGGUUAUGAAAUGUCCGAAACUGCAAAGUUACAAAAUAGCAUAAGAAACAUGAAGCUAAAGCUAGUGGCAGGUCGGCUUGGCAAAGCACAAUGAUUGUAAAUGACCCAAGGGAAAAGUAACCCUGUACUCGUACUCGGUGUCUUUCACUUAUCAGGGACCGGGUCGUGGAGGCAGCAGUCUCAGUAGAGACACCCAGACUUCACUCACCCCAGACACCUCAUCCAGCUCUUCUGGGGGGACCCUGAAGCGUUCCCAGGCCAGCUGAGAGACAUAGUCUGUCCGGCGUGGCCUGGGCCAUCUCCUGGACCUCGUCUCAGUGGGACGUCCCUGGAAAAAUACCUCCCAGGGGACAUCUGGAACAGAUGCCUGAGCCAUCUCAGCUGACUCCUCUCGAUGUGGAGGUACAGCUGCUUCACUUUGAACUCCUCCCGUAUGCCCAAGCUCCUCACCCUAUCUCUAACCGAUGCCCUGUCACAUUGCGUAGGAAGCUCAUUUCCGCCACUUGUGUCUCAGAUCUCGUUCUUUCAGUCAUGACCCAAAAUUCAUGACCAUAAGUGAGGGUAGGAAUGUAGACCAACAGGUAAAUCAAGAAAUGUGCAUUUUGGCUCAGCUUUCUCUUCAACACAACAAAGCGGCACAGCAUCUGCAUUACUGCGUGGCUGUGGUGGCCAUACUAAUCAGUCUGUCGAUCCACCGCUCCAUUCUCCCCUCACUCAUAAACAAUAUCCUGAGAUAUUUAUAGUCCUCCACUUGAAGCAGAAAUGGCCCUCCAACCUGGAGAAGGCAAGCCACCCUUUUCUGGUCGAGAACCUUGGCCUCAGACUUGGAGGAGCUGAUCCUCAUCCCUACGUCUUUGCACUCGACUGCAAACCGCCAAAGUACAUGCUGUGCGUCUUAAACCACAUCAUCUGCAAAAAAGGAGAGACAAAAUCCAUGCUGUGACUAGAAAUCUGAUGACAAAGGGCAGCCUUGCCAGAUGUCCAACAUGCACCGAGAACAAGUCCGACUUAAUGCCCGCAUUGUGAACCAAACUCCUGCUUUGCUUGUACAGAGACUAGAUUCCACCUAAUAAAUGGCCCUGGACUCUGUACUCCUGGAGCGUCCCCCAAAGAGGAACCACAAGGGACAGGGUUGAAUGCCUCCUCCAGGUCCACAAAGCACACGUGGACUGGUUGGGCACACUGCCAUGAACCCUUGAGCACCCUGUAGAGGGUGUAGAAAUGGUCCAGUGUUCCAUGACCGGGACGAAAAUGACACUUCUCCUCCUCGGCCGGACUGUCCUCUCUAACACCCUGGCAUAGGCCUUCCCAAGGAGGCUGAGGAGUAUGAUUCUCCUGUAGUUGGAAAACACCCUCCAUUCCUCUGUCUUAUGGUGGGGGACCACCACCCUGGUCUGCCAGUCGACUGCCAUGCAGUGCUAAAAAGGCGCAUAAGCUACAACAACCUCACAACAUACAGAGACUCCGAGUGAGAUCUCAUCCGCCCUUAAAACCUUUACACCGUGGAUCUUUUAACAGCCUCUAUCACUUUGGCCUGGGUGAGUCCAACUCUGAGUCCUCAGUCUCCACCAGGGAAGGGGUGACGGCAGGAUUGAGGCGGUCCUCUAAGUACUCCAAGAGUAACUAAAACAAUCAAAGCUAAGGAGCUCUAUAUAUCUUAUUUGUUUUAUUCCAGAAACUUCAUACAAUGUUAUUUGUGCAAAACUGGAAUUAAAAUUGAUCCUUGCAAGCAUUAGCAUACAUUUAUUCAAGAAAUACAAGAGGCAUAUUAGUCACGUUACUCCUUCAGUGUAGGAAGUAAGAGCUUAUUUCCCUGCUAUGGUCAGAAUGAAUUGUCCCAUUUUGUACCCCCAAAAAAGUGUCUGGUAUGAAAUGUUCAAAACUACAAGGGUCCGAAAUGGUGAGCUGGUGUUUUUUUUUUGCAGCACCUCUAUUUCGCCCUGAAACAUAAAGCUAGAGUUUUGCUUGGCUAAGGACAAACUACAGUGCUAUGAAAAAGUAUUUAGCCCCUUACAUAUUUCUUGUGUUUUUGCUUUUUGUCAAACUUUAUUGUUUUGGAUCAUCAAACAAAUUUUAAUAUUAGACAAGCAUAAAUACAAAAUGCACCUUUCAAAUGUUAUCAUUUAUCAAGGGAAAAUACUUUGAUGUGAAAAAGUAAUUUCUCCCCCCUUGUUAAAUCACAAAUUAACUGUGAUUAACCACGUUUUUUGGAAACCUAAAUGCAGUCUCAUGAGCCACAUCAAGACCUGACUACUUCCAGACCGGUAGAAUCAAGAAAUCAUUUAAAUAGAACCUUUUUGAGAACAUAAAGUAGGUUAAAGAUAAAAAAAUAUAUAUAUAUAUCAAUGCCAUAUCUGGGGCUGCUUUGCUGCUUUAGGUACUAUUAAAUGCUGGACUUGACUGUUAUUGACAGAAGCAUAAAUUCUACACUACCAGAAAAUGCUGAAAGAAGAUGUCCACUAGUUCAUGAUCUUUAGCUGAAGCUCACUUCUGAAGUACACCAGCAAGUCCACUGCUAAAUGUCUUAAAGGUUUUGGAGUGGCAUACUCCAAGUCCCCCCCUGAAUCUAAUUCAGAUACUGUGGUAUAACCUUAAUCAGGCUCGAAAACUGUACAAAUUCUAACAAAUUAAACUCGAAAACUGUACAAAUUCUUUUAAUUAUUACUUUUUCAAUUAAUUAAACAAAUCAUUAUAAUUGUACCACUUUUUGUAAUUAUUCAGCAUUGCAGUGUGUUAAAAAAUAAAAACAGAAGAAAUAUUGAAGGGGGCAAAUAGUUUUUCCCAGCACUGUGAAAUGCCUACAGCUGACAAGCACUUUAUUUCUUGUUUUUUUCAUUCUAGAAACCUUCUGGCCAUAAUUUGUUCAAAACAGGAAUCUAACUCUGUCCUUGCUAGCAUUAGCAUCUAUUUUAUUGAAUAAAUACCAGAGCCAUAUCAGUCUUUUCAAUUUACUCUUCCAAAGUAAGAAAGUAAAUGAGCUUAUUUCCCAGUUAUUUCUAUUUAACACAAUUUUGUUUUGGGACAGCUUAGGUGAAAAUAAUAUUUUCAAGCUUGCAUGGCAAUGUAGUUUGGUAACAUGUAACUUUAGCUAACAUUAGCGACCUUUUGCUUAAAAAACAGAGAGAAACUUAAAUGCUUAACUUUUGGGUGAUUGUACAAAUAGCUCAAUGUUUUCCAGCCACAUACUCUUUGUCAUCUUGUCAGUAAGUGUCAUCUAUGGACAUGUGGUCUCCUCUGAAACUGACCUUAUGUGUAUGUUAGCAUCUGAAGCUAAUUGUUUUUAAAAUAAAAAUUAAAAAAACAAAUCCUGCAUGACAGUGAAAUUAUUCACUGCAGGAUCAAGGUUUCUUCUAGAGAUGCAAUAAUCAUAUUCUUUUCUUCUGGUAAGGGCAAAAUGUAAAUGGUUAAGAGUCUUAACAUUGUAUAAUACAUAGUAUAUUUUAUUCAUGUAAAAUGUUACUAAUAUAUUACUAAUAAGAAAUGUGUUGAAUUCAGAUUUUUGUUGUUUAUCUCUCCCCCCCAUUGUCUAAUUGAUGGUUUUUAGCUCAUUAGAGAAACCAAUCAUGGGUCAAAAUUAGUAUCAAAUACUUCAACCACUUAUGUGUGAAAUUCUGCCUUAAAUUUGGUAUUAACAGAUGGGCACUUUCUGUUUAACAAUUUAAUUCACCUUUAUGGAAACUAUCAGUUCAAAUCUGUUGUGCAGUUGUAAUUAGUUUCAUGAGAAUGAGAGAGUGUGUGCAAGAGAACAUAAAUAAAGAUAUAAAACAGCUGAAA